rnacentral:rRNA from 1 species
UACGUAGGGGGCAAGCGUUGUCCGGAUUUAUUGGGCGUAAAGAGCGUGUAGGCGGUCCGGUAAGUCCGCUGUGAAAGUCGGGGGCUCAACCCUCGGAUGCCGGUGGAUACUGUCGGGCUCGAGUACGGAAGAGGCGAGUGGAAUUCCUGGUGUAGCGGUGAAAUGCGCAGAUAUCAGGAGGAACACCAAUUGCGAAGGCAGCUCGCUGGGACGUAACUGACGCUGAGACGCGAAAGCGUGGGGAGCAAACAGG